rnacentral:rRNA from 1 species
UAAGCAUAUCACUAAGCGGAGGAAAAGAAACUAACUAGGAUUCCCCUAGUAAUGGCGAAUGAAGCGGGAAGAGCUCAGCACCGAAUCCCGCAGCCUUGCGCUGCAGGGAACUGUGGUGUUUGGGACGUCUAUUGGCGCGAUGUCCGGGUGCCCAGGUCCUCCUGAUCGGGGCCUCUCCCAGAGCGGGUGUCAGGCCUUUACCGGCACCUGGCGUCGUGCCUCAGAGCGUCCUCGGAGUCGGGUUGUUUGAGAAUGCAGCCCAAAGCGGGUGGUAAACUCCAUCUAAGGCUAAAUACCGACACGAGU